rnacentral:rRNA from 1 species
GACGAACGCUGGCGGCGUGCUUAACACAUGCAAGUCGAACGGAAAGGCCCUGCUUUUGUGGGGUGCUCGAGUGGCGAACGGGUGAGUAACACGUGAGUAACCUGCCCUUGACUUUGGGAUAACUUCAGGAAACUGGGGCUAAUACCGGAUAGGAGCUCCUGCUGCAUGGUGGGGGUUGGAAAGUUUCGGCGGUUGGGGAUGGGCUCGCGGCUUAUCAGCUUGUUGGUGGGGUAGUGGCUUACCAAGGCUUUGACGGGUAGCCGGCCUGAGAGGGUGACCGGCACAAUUGGGACUGAGAUACGGCCCAGACUCCUACGGGAGGCAGCAGUGGGGAAUAUUGCACAAUGGGCGGAAGCCUGAUGCAGCAACGCCGCGUGCGGGAUGACGGCCUUCGGGUUGUAAACCGCUUUCGCCUGUGACGAAGCGUGAGUGACGGUAAUGGGUAAAGAAGCACCGGCUAACUACGUG